UACAGAGGGGGCAGGCGUUAUUCGGAAUUAUUGGGCGUAAAGGGCGCGUAGGCGGCCGUGCAAGUGGAAGGUGAAAUCCCUCGGCUCAACCGAGGAACUGCCUUUCAAACUGCAUGGCUUGAGUCCGGGAGAGGUGAGUGGAAUUCCCAGUGUAGCGGUGAAAUGCGUAGAUAUUGGGAGGAACACCAGUGGCGAAGGCGGCUCACUGGACCGGAACUGACGCUGAGGCGCGAAAGCGUGGGGAGCAAACAGG
rnacentral:rRNA from 1 species